rnacentral:rRNA from 1 species
AUGAGCCUCUUUUCAAUAAUACAAGGAUUCAUGUUGUUUUCUCUAUCAAUGGGCUUGAUAACCAAACACCGCUUGUUGGGUUCCCUAGAUCAAAGAUGUACAAUAAUACUCCACAUGCCGCACGUUAUUAUUUUUGUGCUGGCCGAUCACAGUAGUCAUGGCACAUCACAAGGGUAUGAUCCUCGACGUGGAAGAUCAAGAUACUUGGACUAUGGUGCAAUGCAAAUCACUCUUGGUAUCCUUCAAACACUUGAAGUUGGCUCAUCUUUUUUGUCUAGACAUUCUUCUCAUAGUGCGCUUGAUCCGAGAGAUGCCAAAAGGGUGAGGCUGGAUGCUGGCAUCGACCCUUACCAUGUAAGGGCAGGCACUGAGGCUUUUCAGCCAGGCUGGGUAGUUUUUUCUUAA